rnacentral:rRNA from 1 species
GAUGAACGCUGGCGGCGUGCCUAAUACAUGCAAGUCGAGCGAACAGACGAGGAGCUUGCUCCUUUGACGUUAGCGGCGGACGGGUGAGUAACACGUAGGUAACCUACCUAUAAGACUUGGAUAACUUCGUGAAACCGGAGCUAAUACCGGAUCAUAUUUCGAACCGCAUGGUUCGAUAGUUCAAGAUGGCUUUGCUAUCACUUAUAGAUGGACCUGCGCCGUAUUAGCUAGUUGGUAAGGUAACGGCUUACCAAGGCAACGAUACGUAGCCGACCUGAGAGGGUGAUCGGCCACACUGGAACUGAGACACGGUCCAGACUCCUACGGGAGGCAGCAGUAGGGAAUCUUCCGCAAUGGGCGAAAGCCUGACGGAGCAACGCCGCGUGAGUGAUGAAGGUCUUCGGAUCGUAAAACUCUGUUAUUAGGGAAGAACAAACGUGUAAGUAACUGUGCACGUCUUGACGGUACCUAAUCAGAAAGCAACGGCUAACUACGUG